GACGAACGCUGGCGGCGUGCUUAACACAUGCAAGUCGAACGAAGAGCGAUGGAAGCUUGCUUCUAUCAAUCUUAGUGGCGAACGGGUGAGUAACGCGUAAUCAACCUGCCCUUCAGAGGGGGACAACAGUUGGAAACGACUGCUAAUACCGCAUACGAUCUAAUCUCGGCAUCGAGGAUAGAUGAAAGGUGGCCUCUACAUGUAAGCUAUCACUGAAGGAGGGGAUUGCGUCUGAUUAGCUAGUUGGAGGGGUAACGGCCCACCAAGGCGAUGAUCAGUAGCCGGUCGGAGAGGAUGAACGGCCACAUUGGGACUGGGACAGGGCCCAGACGCCUACGGGAGGCAGCAGUGGGGAAUCUUCCGCAAUGGACGAGAGUCUGUCGGAGCAACGCCGAGUGAGUGAUGACGACCUUCGGGUUGUGAAGCUCUGUUAAUCGGGACGAAAGGCCUUCUUGCGAGUAGUGAGAAGGAUUGACGGUACCGGAAGAGAAAGCCACGGCUAACUACGUG
rnacentral:rRNA from 1 species